rnacentral:piRNA from 1 species
UAAGAGCAAAAUAUGUAUGGGUAAGUGGU